rnacentral:rRNA from 1 species
GAUGAACGCUGGCGGCGUGCCUAACACAUGCAAGUCGAGCGAACAAACGGGGAUCUCGCCCGUCUGCCGCUGCCGGCGGACGGGUGAUUCCCACGAGGCUACCCGACCUAUAGGACUGAGGUCCCGACGGGCAAGCUGAUCCCAUAUAGGAUCAGAUGGUGAACCGGAUGGAUCAUCAGACCUCGCGCGUCCUGCUGUGCCUACUACAUGGUACCGGGCCGCAUUAGCUAGUUGGUACGGUAACGGCGUACCAAGGCUACGAUGCGUAGCUGACCUGAGAGGAUGAUCGGCCACACUGGAACUGAGACACGGUCCAGACUCCUACGGGAGGCAGCAGUAGGGAAUCUUCCGCAAUGGGCGAAAGCCUGACGGAGCAAUGCCGCGUGUGUGAUGAAGGUCUUCGGAUCGUAAAGCUCUGUUAGUAGGGAGGAACAACUGUGAGAUAAACUAUGGCCGUCUUGACGGUACCUACAGAAUAAGCCACGGCUAACUACGUG